rnacentral:lncRNA from 1 species
UGAGACCUUAUUUUAAAAUUGCCUUUACUUAGGUCCAUCAUGUGUGGAAUCCUUUGGUACUGGCUUCUGAUGAGCAGGAUGAUGUCUUUAACAGCUCACUGGGAUUAUCAAAUACAUCAGUGUGAUGUAUUUGCUAAACAGAGGUGGCGGCUGAAGUUUGACAAGUGCUUGUGUUCCUGGAGGCAUGGAGAAUAAAAGUAAUUCUGAACAAAAUUCUGUUCUUUAUUUCAGUUUCCCUGAUGACAUGCAAAUCAGAAUCUGUUAACCAUUGGCUGUUCCAGAUAUGAUGUCAAAGCCAACAAGGGAGACUUGUAGUAUGACUCAAAAGCAGAAGUAUUUUGAAACAGAAAGAAUGACUUACUGGGGAGCCAGGUUAAAAACUAAAGAAGUGAAGAUUGGUCAUCUCUGCAGAGGAAAUUACAAGGUCUUUCUCAGAAGAAACAGCUGUAGAAUGUGGAUGAAUGAAUCAGUUGUGUGGAAUUCCUGUUGGCAAGACCUUAGACCCUCGACUGCUGCUAGAUCCAGCUGAGGGAUCAAAGAGAGAACUUUUGCAGGUAUUUCAUGUCUUCACCUGUACUAUUCUCACCUUAAUGAGUAGCAAAUUAUUCUG